GUGUCAGCAGCCGCGGUAAUACAGAGGCCCCAAGCGUUACUGAGAAUCACUGGGUUUAAAGGGUGCGUAGGUGGCGCGUUAAGUCCGUUGUGAAAUCCCUUGGCUCAACCAAGGAAUGGCUUCGGAUACUGGCGUGCUUGAGGCCGGUAAGGGUCACUGGAACUGACGGUGGAGCGGUGAAAUGCGUAGAUAUCGUCAGGAACGCCAAUGGUGAAGACAGGUGACUGGGCCGGUUCUGACACUGAGGCACGAAAGCGUGGGGAGCGAACGGGAUUAGAUACCCUGGUAGUCC
rnacentral:rRNA from 1 species